AUAUAUAUAUAUAUAUAUAUAUAUAUAUAUAUAUAUAUAUAUAUAUAUAUAUAUAUAUAUAUAUAUAUAUAUAUAUAUAUAUAUAUAUAUAAAAGAUUAGGUACCCGAAUAUUAUACUACGUCGUUUCGACAGCAAACAACUUCAUAACCUUUUUUACUUUGCCUCUCUAAUCUCCAUGCGUACGAUCGACCCCCAUCCCUCGAUCAAAAUUGGAUUUUGCCACUUUCCUUCUGGACCUCUACCUAAAUUUCAUGAAAAAGCUAAUCAGUCUAGUUAACGUACAUCCAAAAAAAACUGAUUACACACCGUUCUUUGGUUUGAGUUUUAUGAUCUUCGAUGUUCAUGCCGACCAUGAGCCAACAACAUUCAACAAUUUCAUUAGCACCGAGGGAGAGAACGACCAUGUAGAACAAGUUUUUCGUUUUAUUUCUCAGGUUCAACAUCUAGGUUCGUCAAUUUAAUUGUGUUCACAAAGUUUCUUCAUUUUUAUGUUUCUCUGAUUGUUAUCUAAAUCUCAGCAACAAUCAAAGAUUUUUUUUCAUAUCUUACUAAAGUUUCUCAGAUUGAUAACUAAAUUCGAUCUAGAUUUUUAGGUUUUCUAGGUCGUGUGAUUUCGAUUCACAUUUUGGGGUUUCAGUUUCACUUGCAAUUGUAGUAUAUGCAGCCCAUCCUGCCUACAUAGGGUGAUAUGAAAAAUGGCUGAAAUGGGUAUUUCGAGUGAAGUGGCGACUGAUUUAUUUACACAACAGGCAGAAAUAGCACAUAAAGGGUAUAAUAGAUCAUAAUUAUCAUUAAAUUUAUUCAUCAUUUUUAUCAUCAAAAUUUAAUAAAUAGUCUAUUAUAAUUGGAAAUAAAAUUGCUACAAGGAAGAAUUCUAUCAAAAUUGCUAACAUAUUAUGCAUAUUAAAGUAUGUUUUGAUGUUCAACACUUCCUGUGAACUCAAAAUGUCUGUAUUAUUGCUUAAAUAUUAUGUUCAAAUUGACCAAUUCCUAAUUUCCUAUCAAUCAUGUACGGUGACCUGCUCCUGCUUCUUUUCACGGGAAACCAGAUGCAGAGUAAUGACAUAGAUUUUGAUUAAAAAAGCACACAUAUUAUUUAGCCAAAAUGAUUUUAUGCCUUAUUGGGUAUGCAUUUUAUAGACCUUAUAGGGGUAUUUAUGUAUUUUAAAGAGACGAGAUUGAGAAUGAGGGUCCCAAAAGCAAUGUAAGUGUUAAAAAUUGAUCCAUUUAUUGUGAACUCUUUGAUUGCAUGUGUUAUCAUCUUGUCAAAUACUUUUUUUUUAAAUUUUAUUUGUGUUCUGUGAUGCAGCUUCGGGAUAGAAGAUCAUAAACCUUGAGGGCUGAAAUAUAAUUUACUACGAGGGUCAUACUUAUGCGUAGGUGAUAUUUCUUGAACAGUUUCUUGACACAAUUAUAGAGAAUGGAAGGAUGUCAUAGGAAUACCUCAAGAAGUGAAAAUGGAGAUUUUGGUAAAUUUAAAUGAAGCUUCAACUAUUGAACCUCCAUAGGAGUGGGAAGCUCUGAUACCAGAGCAAAUUUUAUUACAGUUGGCAUCAGCUUGUCAUAUUAUACAACAUCAAGUUUAUAGGCAUUUGAUUAUUGAUAUAUAUUUACAAGCUUUUACAUGAAAUUUGUAUAGGUCUUAGCUUUAUAUAGUCAUCAAAUUUGUAUAGGCAUUCAAAUCUUUGUGUGUAUGCCACUUUAUCAGAAAAUUUGGCUAUAAAAAAGAUAAGUACCGUAA